GAUCUUAUAAACAGCAAUUCUCUUCUUUUCAAAACAAAAACGACCAUGUUUAACAAAACUUAACAAGAUCUG
rnacentral:other from 1 species